ensembl:lncRNA
GGCUAUCUGCAGCUGAAGGGCUGCGUGGUGAAUGUGCUAAGGCCAGUGCUCUCUCUUUACCUCUGUGCCUCAGACUACGUGUGUUUGGCGGUCGGAGCUGCUGAGCGUUCCUAAGUCCAGGUGAAAUCAGUGGGAGCAACAUGUGCUCAGCACCUCGGGAAGCUGCCAGCAGGCCUUUUGAGCAUUGCACUGCUCGCUCAUCGGUCUAUCUGCUCCCUGUGCCAUACAGCGAGACACCCGGCUCCUCGAACAUGCUCAGUAAAGGUUUCGCCGCCAGAAUCAACAAGGAGGUGUGUGGAUAUGGGUGCACACCAAGGCACCUCCCAGGUCCUACUUGCCCCCACAGUGAGACCCGGCUGGGACACACCAGAGCUCCCUCCCAAUGGAAACCAGAUUUCCGGGGAUUGCCCAGAAGUAAAGGGUCUGGACACAACCAGAGACAGUACCUCAACUCACAACCAGGAAAGCAAGAGAAUCACUGGUUUUGGCACUGACCAAGAUAAACCACUGCAGCUGUUUAUCUGGGCAAGAGGAACUGCAAACAAUUCACGUUGCGUAUUGCUACUUAAAACAUCAUUCAAAAAGCUCUUCUGGUCACUGAUGGGUAAAAGUAGAGCAAAGCAACUGUCAGCAGCUUCUUCUUUUCUGGGGAAGUACAAUGCUGAAUAACCCCGGGGCACAACUGAGAAGGACAGGCCUAGAACGUGAACAAGGCCGACAGGCCUCACUGCGUAUUUUGCUUGUUUAAGUUCCAGCUCUAAUUCAAAGGGAGGAAAGAAACUUGUUAAGUAAAAGAAGCAGACAAGGAAAGAAGAGCAGAAAUAUAGUACGAUAUAAGUGACCUAGAAAGAAGCAUCUUCUGGACCAUUUUUUUUCUACCACUCAACGGAAUAUCAGCAGAAGAGCGUGAAAAGCAGAGAAAUGGGUUACCUCUAGGAGAUAGCACCCUGCAGCUCCUUCCACCUAACGACAGCACCUUUUGGCCAGCAACCCAAAGAAGGUAACCCUCAGAACAACCGUGACACUUCAGACACGGUCCAACUCCUUCCCUCCAACACCUCGGGUUUCGCUUACCACAAUUUGUUUACAAAUAUCUUACUUAGAAUCUUCCACGUGAACAUCUGUCUCAGAAUGAUCUUUCUGGGGACAGUCUCAGCAAAAUGAAAGUUCAGAUAUUCUGCAGAAAGGGAGUAUGCAAAUAGGUAGCUUAGGCUGUAUUAAAUUUACCCUGCUGCUGUUGAUGUUACUGAUUCACUGAGAUAUAAAAGUGGUUUCAGGUUCUGGAGUAUGCGUAAAAUUUUGGCAGAAGUGUUGUCCUGACCAGAGAUGUGUCUUCAGCUAUUGCCCUAAAAAAAAUCACCUAAAUGCAGUCCAUUUUAAAUUGUUGGGGGAAAAAAAAACAACAAAACAAAAACAGCAGCUAGCCUUCAGACCUUUCAUCAGUACAAACUUCAUGCCUCAGGCUUCAACAACAGCUCCAUACUGGCCGUGGCAUCUACAAAAGGGUCUGUCCUCAUGGGACUUGCUACAGAACAAAAGACAGUUCUGAACAGCUUUGGGACUUUCCACAUCAAGAAGCUACAGUUGGUAAAGAAAGACACAAUUACUUCAAUACGCUGUUUUUUACCUGAAUCUAAACAGAAACAAGGAAGAAACACAGAAACAUGAAGAAAGAUUUAGAGCUUCCUGUUUGACUUUGUUUACAAAAAGUAAGUCCACGCUAGAAGCAAGGCAUGAGCAGUUAAAAACAUUUCCAACGCAGAACUUACUGGUGCAAAUAUUUUCUGGUAACACAGCAUGACUGUAUCUAAGAUUCAUGGUCUGCUGUUCUCUGAAAUAUUCUUCCCUUUCAAGAUCAACACAGAGAGAGCGACACUGCUGUGCCAAACUGUCCUCCCUGUGCUGCAAGGCACUUUCACUUAAACCCCACAAAAUGCUGCUUCUUAAUUGUCAGAAAUCUUCGUUAACAAAUUUCCCUUUUCAGUUUUUGUGAACUGUGCUUUUCUUUUUUUGUUUGUAAACAAAGAAACAAACGAACAAAAAGCCAGAAUGUAGAAAAGCUCUGCCAGAACUCAAUUAAUAAAUAAUGAGCAUCG